CCGAUCCGUCCAUAUGACAUAUGUCUUGCCACUUCUAUGGAAGCUUCGGAGGAGUUCAAUCCCGACAGUCCUAUAAACAGGUUGAUUUGACUGGCAUGUCCGCAGUGUCACCUUCGGGCAUAGCCGGGAAAUUAUUUUAGCUGGUUGUGAAGAUGGGAAUUUAAAACUAUUUUCUUCUUGUAAUUUUUCUUUCGAGAGUUGCAUUCCCGCACAUUCUACAUGGAUUUCUUCAUGUCGUUUUAAUCCUCAGCAAACACACAUUUUGUCUUCAGCUGCUGACGGACUUGUCAAGCUGUGGAAUUUAUUUGAUGUCGACCUUGCCGAAUGUCUGACCACCAUAGAAGAACAUAGAAGUGUAGUUUGGGACUGUGCCUGGCAUUCAGGUGGAGAUUUCAUAGCAACUGCCUCGUUUGACGGGACAUCAAAAGUCAUCGAUCUUAACACUCAGCGUUGUCGUAGCAUUUUACGUUAUCACAAAAAUUCGAUAAACAGCGUUGAAUUUUUGCCAUUUUCGUGCACAAUCCUUACGGCGUCUGCUGACAAAACUAUGGUUAUAUGGGACGGAAGAACU